AUGCCGACCUUUUCUUUGACCUCCAGACAUGCAGCUGUUUCUCCUGGAGAAAAUAUCCAGUUCAGAUGCACAACACCUAACCCAAGAUGCAAUGCUAAUGCUGAAUUCCAGCUCUUCAGCACCGGACCUUCUGUAUCCUCCCAGAAACAUGUAUCUGGUGUGACUUUCAAUCUUAAUGUAGAUGUUUCACAUCAGGGCAGCUACAGCUGUCAUUAUUCCUACCAAAACAACACUAUUAAGUCACCUUUGAGCAAAACUGUUACCAUCACUGUGGUGAACUUGCAGCAGCCCAGCAUUUCCCACAGUGCUCCUGAUGGAUGGUUUAACAAGGAGCCUCAGGGGGCAGUGAUCACCAGGGGCCACAGUUUCACUAUCAUCUGUUCCACUGAAUCUCAGUUUCCUGGAGGCUCUUUUCACUUGUUCAGAGGGUCAAACAUCACCAAGACUGAGUCAGCUGUCAGUCACUCUGCCUCUUUCUUCUUUCCUGAGGCAGAAUAUUCAAAUGAGGGAAACUACAGUUGUGUUUAUGAAGUCAGUGUCUCCUCACGCACCUUCCGUUCAUCUGCCUCUGAACUGCUGCUCAUCACUAUCACAGCCUCCCUGCUUCCUGUCAUUGGUGCUGCAGUGUCAGCUGUACUGCUCUUAUUGUCUGUCCUUAUAAUCAUCCUCCUGCUGAAGAGAAGACAAAAGCAAAGGAAUAAAGAAACUCUCUUUAAGUUCUCCUUUAGAAACGCUGCAGCUAAUACAUAUGCAGGUACAUCCCAUGACAAGAAAAAUGAAGAGGAUGAUGAGUCUGAUUAUGAAAAUGUAGAAUUUAAUAAUAAAAACAUGUAUCAUGAUGACUCUGAAGAGGACUAUGUCAGUGUGGACAUGGAUGACUCUGAAGAGGACUACAUCAAUGCAGACUUUACAGAGAUUAAAGGUGUUGUAAACAAAUCUGAUGAUAACAUUUAUGAAAGCUAUUGUGAUGAAUACUGA
rnacentral:lncRNA from 12 species